rnacentral:snRNA from 1 species
UGACUUAUUUCACUCAGCACAAUACCCUCCAGGUCCAUCCACGUCGAAGCAAAUAGUGGGUAUUUGUCGUUUCUAAUGGCUGAGGAAGAGGACGACCAUCCCCGAUAGAGGAGGACCGUUCUUCGGUCAAGGGUAUACGAGUAGCUGCGCUCCCCUGCUAGAACCUCCAAACAAGCUCUAAUGGCUGAGGAAUAUUCCAUUGUAUACAUAGACCACAUCUUCUUUAUCCAUUCAUCUUUUGAU